ACGAACGCUGGCGGCGUGCCUAAUACAUGCAAGUAGAACGCUGAAGGAGGAGCUUGCUCUUCUGGAUGAGUUGCGAACGGGUGAGUAACGCGUAGGUAACCUGCCUGGUAGCGGGGGAUAACUAUUGGAAACGAUAGCUAAUACCGCAUAACAGUAGAUGUUGCAUGACAUUUACUUAAAAGGUGCAAUUGCAUCACUACCAGAUGGACCUGCGUUGUAUUAGCUAGUUGGUGGGGUAACGGCUCACCAAGGCGACGAUACAUAGCCGACCUGAGAGGGUGAUCGGCCACACUGGGACUGAGACACGGCCCAGACUCCUACGGGAGGCAGCAGUAGGGAAUCUUCGGCAAUGGACGGAAGUCUGACCGAGCAACGCCGCGUGAGUGAAGAAGGUUGUCGGAUCGUAAAGCUCUGUUGUAAGAGAAGAACGAGUGUGAGAGUGGAAAGUUCACACUGUGACGGUAUCUUACCAGAAAGGGACGGCUAACUACGUG
rnacentral:rRNA from 1 species